GAACAAAACCAGGAAGGCACACCAAGUUGACGCACACAAGCGAGGAGGUCACUCUGUGCGCGCUGCCAAAAUGCUGGAGUACCUCUAACAGAUCAAAGAUGUCUGGCCGUGGAAAGAAAGCUGCACAUGGACAAUAAACACAGGGAACUUUUUCAGCUGGAUCCCGAUGAGGAGUGCGUUGCAGUAGUCCAGCCUGGAGGAGACAAAGGCGUGGACCAGCUUUUCGGCUUCGGACAGAGUGAGUGUGGGGCGGAGUUUGGCGAUGUUCCUGAGGUGUGCUGCAUUGCUGUAACGAUGUUCAGACGAGGUGCACCUGGAGAAGGAAGUGCUUAAAAGCUCCAGUGCAGCAGCAGAAGAGAGGCCUCUGGUGUGGGGACUGCUGUGUUUCUGCCUCUCAUCCUAGGAUGGAUAAUUAAACCUUUGACGUGUUAUAAUAAAUCCUAUGGAUUUGAUGAUUUUAAA